AUGUAUAGAGUGUUAAUCCAGUCUGAUGUGCCAGUUGAUAAUAACACAAAGAUCUGGAAGAUGAAGAUACCUCCUAAGAAUAAAAUCUUUGCAUGAUAUCUUCGUUGCAGAGUCAUUCUUAAUAAAGAUAACCUUAUUAAGAGGAAUUGGCAUGGAAGUCUGCAAUGUGUCUUUUGUCACCAUGAUGAGACAAUAAAACGUUUACUCUUCAAGUGCAAAUUGGCUCGUUUUAUAUGGCCAGUCACACAAAUAGCUUUUGGCUUGUAUCCUCCCUAUAGUGUUGUUAAUGUAUUUGGCAACUAG
rnacentral:rRNA from 1 species